GGGACCGGCGGGGCGGGAACGGCGGCCGCGGCGGGCGGGGGCGCGGCGGCGGAGGGGCCUUCCAUGGCCGGCGACGAGGAGGAGGGCGCGGGGAUGCGGGCGGGAAGGGAGCGGUUGCCUCCCGCGUGAACGAGGAGGCAGCGACGAAGAGGAGUGCGGGUUGGGGGGAGAUUUCCCCCUCAACCCCUACUUCUACAGAUUGCAAAUUGGUUUGAGGGUUGGACCUCUAAAUUUUUUUACGGGUUUGAGGGUUUAGAGGUUCUAGUCUACGGCGUUUUUCCGGCGAAAACUGUAAAAAAACGGUUAUUUUUAAGGGUUUGAGGGUUUGAGGGCACUACUAGUAAUGCUCUUAGAGCCUCAUUUUCGCUCUUGUAAGUACUACACGCCACAUAUGACAUCUCAUAUAUAUUGCGCCUACACAAGCAAUUAUAACAUGCGUUCCAAACAAAAUAUGUGUAAAGAACAGGAACAGUAGUACUAGAAAUGGGACUGCGUUGUGCCCAAAGCUCCGGACAUUUUUCUGAAAACGAGCCCCUCAGCGAUCCUCCGAAGAUAAUCUCUCUUCUCGUGUCGUUGCCUUUUUUAUUGCUAUCCUAAAAUAAAAAAUCUGUAGCUACAGUUGCUUAAGUACAACUCAUGUUUCAGUUAUGGACUUGUGGUUUAUUCAUCUUGGCCAUGUUCUGAACUUCUUCCGAUGUAAAAAAUGAUCAUCAUAACCAUAUUUCCCAUGUAUGAAAGGUAAGUUAAGCUAUACUCAUGCGAGGUUGUCCACCUAAUUCUUAGCAUGGGAUUUAUAUGCGAGGAGUCAUAUACCCUAGAAAGAUAAACACCUUAGUUUAUUCAUGGUGCAUUAUAGUAAUCUGUAUGCAGUACAAUAGUAGUAUCUUUGCAUAUGUUCCAUCUCAAGCCCAAUUGGUCAGUAUCUUUUCUUAUUAUUACAUCUCUGAUUAGUGUACUUUCUUAAAUAAUUUAUCUGCUAAUAUUUAUCCCUUUUGUGAGCAGACAUGUUAGGUAUGUUAUCUUUGUGGUCAUUUGCACAUAUGCUAAUGUGAGCUUUGGCAUUCAAAUCAACUUUCAUGUUUGUAUCUUUUAUCUGCAGUGCACUGUUUGUGAUUUAAUCAUUCACUCCAACUGAUAGGAUCUGAAUCUGGUGGACUCCAUACCAUGUCAUUUAAUCUUCUUACAUGUUGGAAUUUUCAUGCAACAACUCACAGUAAAUAUUUUUUGGCUAAAUUGGCCGUACUCACAUGAACAAUUAGUCGCAGCUUUUUCCUUGGCUCCCAAAAUUGAAGUACGGAGAUGAUACCCAAAUUUUGCAGGCUAUGAUAAAAAAUUUACGGUUUAAUUGAAGUGAGAAUGGAAAUUUUCAUAUCGGCAUCCUUAUAUAAGGCCUUCUCUGUCUUUUAACUAGGGCCACAAACAAGCAAACAUGCAGUCAUCUAUGCUGAUGCAACACGAUUGACGCUUGUGGCCACCGGCUGGAGGGCUUUCAGGCAAAGGACAAUGGUGGCGUGCAAGGACAACCAAGGAGAUCACGUCCACCUACUUUCGGUUGUUUGUGUCUCUCUUCACUGGUGAACUAUUUGAUCUGCAUCCCAUCUGAAAGGGUACAUUACACAUCCGGCUUCAGCCAUCAUCUCUGCUCCGGUAGAACCUAUUGCUCACUCCACGAUCUGAUAGUACAACAUUUAGCUCACUCCACAAUUUGAUAGUACAACAUUUUGCAUAUACCAACAAAACCUCCAUGUUCAGUUGUAAUUGUACUGUAGUAGUCUGUCGCUGAAUUGUGUUGCCCUUUGCUUCUGGAUAUAGAACUACUCCCUCCAUUCCUAAAUAUUUGUCUUUUUAGAGAUUACAAAUGGACUACCACAUACGGAUGUAUAUAGACAUAUUUUAGAGUGUAGAUUCACCCAUUUUACUCCGUAUGUAGUCACUUGUUGAAAUCUCUAGAAAGACAAAUAUUUAGGAACGAAGGGAGUACAUAUCACAUGGACCUCUCCCUGAAAGCAAGAACAUUUGUUACUUGUGAUGUGUGGCUUGUCAUUUCUCUUUUACAAUUUUAGAAAUGGUACAAGCAUACAAGUUAAUGUAAAAGGGUUAAUAAGAACUACACAAAUGGAGAAAAAGUUUAGUUGAACAUUUUUUGUCGCUAAUGUAUUUUGUCUUAUAUACUAUUUGUCGUGUUAUUAUUUAAUUGGGAUUUUGUUCUGAAAGAAAAUAAAUAUAGAUGUGUUAAGUUUUUUCUUCUACUUUGCUUCUAUCAAACUAAUCCAUGAUAUAUGGUAUGCAAUGCUCUCAUGGAUGA